GUAAGUUACCUGAUUCACGUCAGUCGCAAAGGAACUAAAGUUAGCUAGCUAUGCCUUCAAUAUGUUGUGCGGUGGGGUGCAACAACAAAAAAGGAGACCCCAAAAUAUUCUUUUACAGGUUACCUCAGGACGAAAAAAGACGCCAUCAACAGGGCAGACUGGACACCAACAGCAAACACUCGUCUGUGCAGUGCUCAUUUUUUCUGUGGUUUGAGAGUCCCACUUUGUUAAAUAUAAUUGAGCAACCAUAGGUGGCGAUAAGCACGCGAGCAGGCAUUGAGGCAAUGGAUGAAGAUGAGCCAGCUAGCUGCGCUGAACGCGAUCAUUGUUGAUGGUUGAGAGGUAAGGUUUUAAACUUCAGUUCAGUGAUACUGAACAAUAACUCUUCUGUGGUGUACGAGGAGAGGAUGUACAAACUGCAAGUAAUGAUGGCGAGCCAACCCAGACUGUGGCUUUCAUCUUUGUUUCAAGUGUUCCUGCAAAGGCGACCUGUUACACAGCGGAUUCUCUGUAAACUGAUACCAAACAGUUGGAGUAUCCGGGAUCUGUUUUUAACUGAACAAGGCAUCGAUUUCUUCCAUUCUUCUACCAAUUUUUUUUUUCUGAACUGGAAAUCUUUUUUCUUCAACAUCUUCCUGAACUGAAUUGAAUUGUAUUCCACGACAAGAACAGAAAUUAAAUGGAAUUUAAGUACCACACAUUAUAAUUGUAUUUUCAUUUCAUGUACAGCAUAAAUUUUGUGUAUUGCUUGUCUGUCUAACAGUAAAGUGCUGACUGACGUCGGAAGUGCUGAGAACACACAUUAUAACUUCCUUCAACUGUCGGUCAUAGCGGGCUUGUGGGCAU
ensembl:lncRNA